AGUUCAAAGCAAUCUGUAACGAUGCAGAAUCAGAACAGAAUUUCUACUAUACUAUUCUGAAGAAUUAAUUAUUGUUGGUGUAGAGUUGUAAAUGAUGGAUAAAAUGGUAACGUUUCCUUUUAUCAUUCGAGUUUAUGAUUAUGGACUUUAUGAUUUCUAUUAACCAUUAGAAAUAUGCUAAUAGGAACAUAAACAAACUUUUUAUAAAUCUUUUUUGAAUAUUAAAUUUAAAAUUUUUAAUAAUGAUCCAACAAAAAAAAUCGUUUGCAUAAAAUAUUAUGGAACUUUUAAUCCAUUUUGAUACCAUUACAACCGAUAGAGAAUGUUUGGCUAAUUCAACUAACAAAAUUGAAACUAAAAUACCUAGCAGCGUUUAGGAGGCAAAUACUCUGAGUCAACAGCUUUGCAACAGCCAGAAGUGCACAUACAAAGGCGGAAACAUUGCACAAAGUUCUUCUCGUCGAUCUCUCGACCCCGUUCGUAUGCAUCAUUGACUCGAUACCGAUACGAUAAAAGUAAACUUGAGAAACGAGUCACAAGUUCCACAAAGCAAAAGAUAACCGAAUAAAACACUAACCGGAUCGGUUUGCAUCUUUGUGUGAGAUGCAUGCUGCUGCUGUACAUGAGUGCAAAGAAAACAAGUCCGACUAUUUCAAGCGGAAAUUUGGUUCAUUAAAUUUCUUAUUGAAUAUUUUAUGGUGGCUUGUAACGGCUAUUAGCAUGUAAGCAAGUGCGAAACCAAGCCACCGACAAACUGGAGAAAAGUUUUAGAACGGCUGCAUGGCUUAUCUCAUGGAAGUUGACCAAAUACCACAAACAGUUCAACCGGAAUUGCAACUUUAUUGUCGUGUAAAUGGAGCCCUGUACUGAUAAAGGAAGACAGGAUACAUAUAUUUUGUGGUGCUACAAUGAACCAUACAAGAAUAGACCAGGCAAAGUUUUUCGUUUGUCAGUUAUAGUCCUAGAUGAGAAAGCUUUCUAUACCGGAUGAUGGUUUCAACGAGCGAGCAGUAGAUAGAACGCAUGAAAGGUUUACAUCCUGCCAUCUUCCGUCCCAGUAGAUCCGGUCAUAUCGCCGCUACUAUCUUUCACCAGAGGCUGCAGCAUCCGCAGCGGAAGAUGAUGUCCAAUGUGUCACAAACUGUAUCCUCGUCUCUCUAUCGCACUCGAGCUUUACGUUGUUCUACAGCGGCGUAGGCGGAAAAUUUCACGUCGACAACUUUGCGCGCGCUCCGUUGCACAAAGUUCACAUGUACUGUGCGGAAGUUGUAGCUCCCGGAAUUUCCUGCAGGCAUAAAUUUAGGCCGAACAAUAAUGUCGGUUCGUUUGUCACCGAUGCAUGUUGGUAAUCGAAUUAGGCUCGUUGUGAUAGUGGAGUCAAAUUGACAUAUUUAGAGGGAAUUUGAAUAGAAUUUAAUGGUGUAAUAAUUUUAAAGUGGGAGUAGAUCACUACGCAGUAAUAAUUGAUUUAUUAUUAUAUCAAAUAGUUGA